GCAGGCAGGGCAAACGGUAAGCCGCGCGGCUCAUAACCGCGAAACAUCCGGUUCAAUUCCGGAGCCUGCA
rnacentral:tRNA from 2 species